AGCAGCCGCGGUAAUUCCAGCUCCAAUAGCGUAUAUUAAAGUUGUUGCAGUUAAAAAGCUCGUAGUUGAAUUUCGGGAUUGACGUGAUGGUCAUGCCUUAAGGGGUAUGAACUGUUACUGUUGAUUUCUCACCUUCUGGAGAAACUUGAUGUCCUUUAUUGGGUGUCUUGCGGAUCCAGGACCUUUACCUUGAAAAAAUUAGAGUGUUUAAAGCAGGCAUUUUUGCUCGAAUACAUUAGCAUGGAAUAAUAGAAUAGGACGGCAUGGUUCUAUUUCUAUUUUGUUGGUUUCUAGGAUCACCGUAAUGAUUAAUAGGGAUAGUUGGGGGCAUUAGUAUUCAAUUGUCAGAGGUGAAAUUCUUGGAUUUAUUGAAGACUAACUACUGCGAAAGCAUUUGCCAAGGAUGUUUUCAUUAAUCAAGAACGAAAGUUAGGGGAUCGAAGACGAUCAGAUACCGUCGUAGUCUUAACCAUAAACUAUGCCGACUAGGAAUCAGACGAUGUUAAUUUUUUAAUGACUCGUUUGGCACCUUACG
rnacentral:rRNA from 1 species